UUUAAAUGGCCGCAGUAUAUUAACUGUGCAAAGGUAGCAUAAUCAUUAGUCUUUUAAUUGAAGGCUGGUAUGAAUGGUUGGACGAAAUAUUAACUGUUUCAUAAAAAUUUAUAUUAGAAUUUUAUUUUUUAGUCAAAAAGCUAAAAUUUAUUUAAAAGACGAGAAGACCCUAUAAAUCUUUAUAUUUAAUUUAUUAUAAUUAAAUAGAUUAUUUUUGUUAUAAUAAUAAAUAAUAUUUUAUUGGGGUGAUAUUAAAAUUUAAUAAACUUUUAAUUGUUUAAAUCAUUAAUUUAUGAUUAAUUGAUCCGUUAUUAACGAUUAAAAAAAUAAGUUACUUUAGGGAUAACAGCGUAAUUUUUUUGGAGAGUUCAUAUUGAUAAAAAAGAUUGCGACCUCGAUGUUGAAUUAAGAUAUAAUUUUAGGUGUAGCCGCUUAAAUUUUAAGUCUGUUCGACUUUUAA
rnacentral:rRNA from 1 species